UCCAACGGAGUUGAUGGCAGAGGUUCUUCACUUCAAUGCUGGUGGUCUUUGCUUCUUCCAGAACACUGACAUUUGUCUGCCUGUCUUCCCAAGAGAUUUGCAGGAUUUUUCGGAGGCAAUGCUGAUGGAAUUGUUACAGGACUUGAGUGCAAUGCCUGUAGACAUCACACUCAUGUCCUGUAAUGAUUCCAUCAGCAUUGCAAGCGCAUAAAAGUGUUGAGAGGACAAUAGUUUUAUAGACAAACAUCUUGGUCUCCCGAUGGAUGUCCCAAUCCUCAAACACUCUCUGCUUCAUUCGAGAGAAUGCUGCACUCGCAGAGCUCACACAGUGUUGCAUAUCAGGGUCAAUGUUGACUUUUGUGAACACAUAUAUGGCAAACAUUCAAUGCCAACAGACAAACAACAUACAUUAGACAGACUCAGAGGCAUUUUUAACAUUUUUCCAGCUUCCCGAUUCCGGCCACAGGGGGAGCUGUUGCUUCACUGUCCACUAGUGGCUGUACUUCCUCGUUCCUUUCCUCGUGUUUUGCUGGCAGUUUUUAUGAUGUUGUAAAUUAGUUAAAUUAGCCCGCCGCAUUAAGCGUACGUAAAUUUCCCUAUUUGACAGAUGCAACUGUCUUUCGGGGCUGCAUAGGUCAACAGCAAACUGGGCUAUUUAAUGGUCGGGGGCUUAACCCGACCCGGGCUUCGAACUCAUGACUUCUCGGUCAGUAGUGAUUUAUUGCAGCUGGUUACUAGCCAGCUGCGCCACAGCCCGGCUGUUUCUUUGUUUCUUUGUUAAUUGUUAAUUAAUUAAUUGAGCUUGCAUUGCAUAGUGGUUUGAGAACUGGACUGGAUUUUGGAGACCAGAGUCCAAUUCUCACUCAACUAUAGUGGGUGACCUUGGACAAGUUACACUCUCUCAGCCUCAGAGGAAGGCAAUGGAAAGCCUCUUAUGAGUAAAUCUUACCUAGAACUUCCUAUGAUAGGUUUUCCUUAGCGUUGCCUUAAGUUGAAAAUGACAGCAACAACAACAACAGAAACUGAUGAUGAUGAUGAUGAUAAUGAUUGGAGAACUAGAAUGUUAAAUCAGAUAAGACUUUGAUAAGCUCCAGCCACAAAAUCCACAAAUGUUACCUUUUAGGACUCUAAGUCCCAUCAUCCCCCACUGGCCAUGAUAACAAGGCUUCUGAUAACUGUAGACCCCAAAAAAGUAACUUUAUAAGCAGUUCUUCUUCUUCCCUGUUAACUUUCAGAAGUUGGAAAAGGAGAAAGAAAUCCCCUUGUCUAUAUUUUAAACAUUUUUAAAAGCAAUGCUGCAAAACGGUUUGGCGCACAAAUUGCCACUUACUCUAUUUAUCCUUCCCGAGUUUGUAAUAAAUGGGGAUAUUAUGCCUUUCACGGAUCCUUAGGCUGAAUCUUUUCAAGCCAGUGUAUUGAGCGGAGAAUAAGCAUAAUAAAAAAAAAGUUCUGCGAAGGAUAUAUUGGAAAAUAAUUUUAAACGUAGCCAAUAAUAACUGAAUAGAACAAACAAAAAUCCAAAUGGCUGGAUGUAACCUACCUUCUGGCACUUUAGCUAUUCGUCCGUUUAAAAAUGAGCAUUGCCAAAGGGAAUAAAAGGGCUGCUUUUUAAAAUCAUUACCCCUGAAAAAGUGAUGGAUGAGAGCUACAAGCAGAAGACAUUCACCU
rnacentral:lncRNA from 1 species